rnacentral:lncRNA from 1 species
CUCUGGCCCACAACAGAGGCAGGCAUGGUCGCAGUUGCUGCUUUCAAGACGAGAGGCCAAACUUCAAGUGUUCAAAAUGUGUCCAGUGGCUACCAACCUGGACAGCGGAGACAGAGCAUUUGUAGCACUGCACAAAGUUCUACUGGACAGCACUGUUCCAGACCACUGAAAAGUAAACUUCCUCUUUCUGCAACACACGACUUGGACAACUUCACUCAGGAAUUUCUAUUUCAGUGUCUAUCUUCUUCAGAAGCAGAAUCCUCAUCAUCAUCAUCAUCAUCAUCAUCAUCAUCACCACGGGAGUCUAAGGAGAAAAAUCUUGUAAAGCCCUGUGUUUAAAGGCAGCUUCUGGUACAGAAGCUGAAGGGAAG